rnacentral:lncRNA from 1 species
CUGCUUUUUCUGGUGAGACAUCUUGUCUAAGGAGGAAGGAGACCCUGAAAAGAGAGCGGAAAAGCAUCACUGGACCAGCCGCAAGAGGGUGCUGCGAUAGUAAAAUCCUCCCUGCUCGGAGUGCAGCCUGCUGGGUUAGGCGCCAAGGUCUUUUCAGGAGCGCCAACUCAGCUGGGAUUGCUACUUUUGGAAAGGAGUCGAUUCCUCUCUCAGAAAAUCCUGGCCAAGUUGAAAUACCCGAGUGGAUGGAACCAACCCUCUCUCCAAGCUGUUUGACCUCAGUGGUGCUUUUAGGGCAGAUCACCCACUUUGGUAGUUUGAACACUUGUUUCUUAGGCCUCUUCCAGUCCCAACACUAAUUCUCCGAGUUCAAAUAGAAAAUUAUCACAAAUCUCUACUUAGCAUGGGGGAUUUUGCCAUUUCUAGCACAAUCUAGGGAGGUUUGUUGGGAUAGCAGAGGACUAUUACAUCUCUUCUUUUUUUUUUUUGCAAAAUCUUGAGUUCAAACUCUUUCCGUGUCCCACAGAGUGAAGCUAUGACUCAAUGGUUAGUUAUUAAUAAAGACAAGGUCUUCCUUGGCCUUUUCUUGGCACAGGGAGAAGGACUCAGAUGGUUCUUUGGGCCAGCACCUCCUACCAGAUUUCUGUAUAUCAGAUAUCUCUUUUGUGAUAUGCUGAAGCUUGGUAGAGGGAACUAUAACUAAUAGGAAGUUGAAUCCUAGCCCCUUGCAAGUCAUUUCUCAUUCACACUGUCUGCAGAAUUUGGCUUUUUGUGGCUCCUAAAAUACCUCUCCUCUGCAACAUUCUCUGAAUCAUUCUCAGUAUUCUCUAACCCUUGGCUUAGCUCCUCCUGACAGUUUUAUGAGGUCAGCCAGCCCAUGUACUGCAAGGGCUGCCUUGGACAGCCACUGCAGCAUUCCUGUGUCUAGCAGAAUUACACCCCCCUACAGGUGUGCUAGAGAGGUAGGAAACAAUCUUGGGUUGGUAGAGUUUACAUUCUGGGCAGAAGACCAAGCAACUCUGCACCCCAUCCCUUUCCUGACUCCCCUCUUAGUAUGAGUGCAGUACAGAGGGAAGAUAGAUGUCCUCUAACUUCUACAGGUGAGAGAGACCCCCCAUGCACUGAAAGCCAGCUGAGAAGAUGAGAGCCAGUAAAUCCCCACUUACCCAAAACACCAGGGAGGGUGAGUGAGGAGAGGAGAUGCUGGUGAUGUGAGAAGCACUGGAACUGAUGAGGUUUUAUACUCUACCUGUCCUGACUCAUCUAUUGAUCAGGCCAGCCUCUUGUGUUUGAGCUUGCUCACGUGACCCAUAGCUGUCAGCCCCACCUCCAUGAGAUUACAUGCACAGGUUGGCCCAUUCAUGAAGAUUUUGGCAUUCUUGAGAUGGGCAGCUUAGUGUAUGACUGGCUUCUUCUCUGAUGCAACUGUGGAGCAGGCUGGUCAGUUGGGAUGGCCAGCCAGAGUGGAUGGCAGACAUUGUUUCCAGAACCUCUGGCAUGGGGCACAUGCCAUAACUAGCAUAGGUCCCAGAUGUGUGAGGCAGCCUAUGAGAAUCAAACUAGAGAUCUCAGUCCUUGGUCCAAGGAGUAAGACUUUUCAAACCCCACUGUAUGGCUUCUGAUCUUAUUGGUCUGGAAACCUUGAAACUUUAGAAUCUGUUCCUCUUUUGCCAAAACUUCUCUCCUGGGUUUCAUGAGAGCUUUACUGGAAUGUUUCUGUUCUGCCCACUGGGUGGCAAGGGUCCAUGAGCCCCAGCUCCCAGUUCUGGACUGCACGUCAUGGACAGCGCUGUAACUAAGAUGACACCCGGGCCUACUUCAAAUUGUCCGUGGAGAUAGCAAGCAUAGGAUCCAGUAUUGACUUUCUUUUCAGAGGUGUGCACUAAAGAGGUGGACCAUGUAGUCCUUUCUGCCAUGGCCCUUUGACUUCAGUGUCUUGUGGCAAUGCUGAUGUCAGCCAGGGGGCCAGCCAUGGAAUGCAAUAGACUUGAGGUUACAUGACUGGGUUUGGGUUCUCCCUUUGCUAGUCAGCUGUGUCACUUUGGGCUAGCUCUUUAUACAGUGCCUGCACAUAGGCACUGGACAAGUAUUUGUUGAUUGUUGAAUGGUCAAGCUUUGUGACCGUCAGUUUGUUGUCUACUAAGUAGGAAUAGUAGCUCCUAUUUUGCAGGCAUGUGGAGAGGGGAUGGUUCUUUAAUGUGUAGAAGGCGACACUGUCUUCUGUUGUUGUGUCACAUAACAGCACAUCCUUACUUUCACCCUCACUUGCCCUUGGAUACGAAAGCCCAGAAGGAGUCCAUGAAUGGUUUGAGACAAGCUCAAGUCUUCUCCUAGGAGAUUAACUCAAGACUUCUCUGUUGACUGCGCUGGCAGCAUCACUUCUGUGUCUGUAGAGCAGCAAGCUCUCCCUUCUUUCGUCAUUGGAACUCAGUUAUUAUUUAAGAUAUCACAUUCAAACUUUAUUCCACCCAGCUGUUGAAACAACUGCUCCAAUAAGAAAUGGACUUCAUUAUGGUGGAGUUUUAAUGAUCCAAAUGAUCCUGAUUAGAUGUGGCUUUCAGAAACUCGUGGCACUGGUUUCAGUUUGGAUAGCAAGAACUCAGCUGAAGCCAGGUGUUCCUCUCCUUCAAGAACACCCAGGAGAGAGAGGCCAAAAUCUAGGUUUCUCCGUUUGAAUUUGAGGCACCAUGGAGGUUUUAGAGGGAAACAAUCUCAUGGAUAGAAAAGAACCAUUUAUACGAGCCACAUGGGAGAGGGGGACUGUGGAUCCCACACUGAUCUAUGGCCCAGUUUAAGCCAUUACCAUGUGUUCAUCAGUCCUUAGUAAAAGCCUAACUACAAGGAUGUUGGUAGAGCAUCCAUGGGAAGGAAAGUCAUGUGUUAAAAUAGAAUUUCUUACAGAAGCGGUGACGAGGCUGCAGUGGUUUCUUUCCUACCCUGAUAUGUCAAAAUGACACAUUUUUUGAGGGAUUCAUUACUUCUCCACAGAAUUCUAAAAUUUGGGACCCUCAAACACAGAUGGCCCCAAACAGCUAAUAAUCUUUAGGUAUCCAUUUAAACAUUUUUUAUUAAUCGACACAUGCUAGUUGUAUGUAUGGGAAUUUGACGCAUUCAUGUAGUGUGAUCACAUCAGGGUGAUUAGCAUUUUUGUGCGGGAACUUUUAGCUCCUGUUUCACUAUUUCAGCAUACAUAAUAAAUUAUUAUAAAUGAUAGUUACCCUACUAUGCUAUAAGAUGCUAAAAUAUUCUUCCUGUCUAACUGUAUUUCUAUACCUAUUAUCUCCUUUCCUCUCUCUUCUCACUUAGCAUUUGUCUUUGUGUGUCUUAUUUCACUUAACAUAAUGUCCUCCAGUUUCAUCCAUGGUGUCCAGAAUGACAGGAUUUCAUUUUUGCAUGUUGGCUUUGGGGGCUUAUGUUUUUCUAAGAAUAGUAGGGUAUUUUCUUUCUUUUUUCUGUCAGUUUUAAGGCGUUUUUAGAGGAAAGAUCCAUAUUUAAAGCUUUACUCACUGAUCCAGCCAACACAAGCAUGCUGGGCGCUAUGCUAAGCAUUAGAGAAGAGUCAGUACCAAAUCUCGUGCCUGUCAGCCUGCACUAACCUUGCAUAUUUUCUGAUUUGUCCCUUUAGAUCAGAAGUAGUCCUGCGGGGCUGUGUGGACAGUAACUGAUUUUAUCACAUCAGUUAGGAAAUGAUGGGCCAUUGUAGAAUGAUAACACAUGGGUGUGUGAGGUUUUGUAAGACUUGGUAUGCCAGAUUUUUAAGAUUCACAGCCUUUAUGUAUUUAACCCUGAAAUGUGUGCUUGCUAGUAUGUCUGGCUUGCACUGCAUUACAGAUUAGGACAUGGUUCUGUGACUGUACCUAUAUCUGUAGAGGGGACAGAUCAUUGGAGCAAAGGUAUGAAGUACCUCUGUGGUACUAGGCAUUAAUACGUGCUAGUGAAUGCUGUUGGAAUUGAAGGGAAUUUUGAGACCUAUUAACUGACAGUGGAAUGAUGAUCCUUUCAGAUGAUUAGAAGUGGAAGGUUUAGCUUGAAACUACAGAUUCAACGCAGCUGUUGUGUAAGUGAACAGACCCUGUGCAGGGAAUCCAGGGACACCUAUAAAAGUGACAUUGGCUAGUAGAAUUUCAUUGUGUUUCCUUUGACAGUUCUCUCAGUAUCUGUCUGAUGGGCAGGCCCCAUAUAGGAGGGGCGCGUGUGUGUGUGUGUGUGUGUGUGUGUGUGUGUGUAUGUGUGUGUGAAGUGUGAAUGAUGGUAAUUCCAUGUUUCCCUGAAAAUAACCCUAAAAUAAACUCUGGUCAUUACCAUGUUGAUGAUGUGUCAUGCAGAAAAUUGUGCCUCACUAUUCUCUUGCUCAGUGGCUACUUCGUAAUGGCAAGUAAGGCAAGAGGAUUGGAACUGGAAUUUUUGUUCUCUAGUUCACAAGGCUGCUUAUUUUCCAGUUAGGUCUUCUUUUCUGGGAAACGGUUCCCAGAAAGUUGUGGCACUCUGUGGUUUAAAGGACACAUCGAGGCUUAUCUGUAACCAUAGCAGACUCAACUUCCUGUACAUACAGGCAUCCUUGGCGCAGGAGAGGAGGGAAGGAGAUGAUGUGAGGAUGUCCAGCUCCAGCUCAGUGCUGCAGUCCCACCACCUUCACAAGCUGUUGGAGGGGCUGUGGGAAAGGAGGGAACAGAAGGCUGCCUUUCUGGCCUGAGCUGAAGUUAAAAGGGCAACAGGUGAUUUGUAAAGAGUAUGCGCAGACCAGGGCCUUGGAAGCUUGGCAGGAUGGGACUGAAACUUUGGAAGCCCUUUACACUUCAUGGAAUGGAAAGUAUUUUCUUCUACUGUCCUGGCCCAGGAAGUAUAAGAUGGCCUCUGGAGCUGCUACUUCCCUCCUCUCUAGCCUCCUGGCCAACAGUUUGAAGGUAUGGUUGUGCCUGGAUGUUAAUGGGGAGAACAGCUGUCAGGGAGAAGAACUGCUCUGUAAUGGGAUUCCCUCUCCUGGCAGCUUUCCUGUGGUCAUCCCACCACUGAUUCCAUGUCCCACACUACUUUCCCUUUCCCAGAUUUUAAGGGAUAGAUUGUAAUAGUUAUAUACUGCUCAUGACACAUCCAUUGGACACAUCUCUUUAAGUUUGAGCUGUCUUUGGGUGCAGCCUCGCCAUUACUUCUUUACUCUGCAUCCUAAUAUCCCCAGGUUCUGGGGCUUUAUCAGGAUGUAUGGACUUUUGGAUCCUCCUGGAGUAACUCUGCCAAGGGCAAGGACCUCAGUAGGGUUGUGCAAAGCUUCCCAAGGAGCUUAUCAGUUUAUGCAGGGAGCUGCACCCCAGCACUACAGUUGCCCAGGCCUGGACGCUUUCAGUGUGUGGCUUAUGGGCAGUGGUCACUGUGUUCUA